UCUCACUAAAUCUUGAACUUCCCUGUCUCU
rnacentral:piRNA from 1 species